UAGGGACUCUGAAAAGAAUCUCAGCACAUGCAGCAAAGACACAAGGCUUAGACAUUAUAGACCCCUCUUCUGGGUGUAGCUUACACAUUAAUGGAACUAAAAUCAAGACUUCAGAAUCAUUGAAAUGCCUAGCAAAGUGAUGGAUAUCCAUCUGUGCAAAUUGAUGGUUGUUGAAUGUGGGUGACACAUCAGAUUCCUUCUGAAUCUGAGAAGAAAACCAGGGACAUUUGCUAUUAUAGUCUUGACAAUCCCAGUUGAAGGUGGCUACUCAGGGGGAAAAAUAAUUAUAGAAUGUGACAAUCGAAAGCACAACUUUCAGUUUGAACAAGGCAGUGAUCAGCAAGUCUCAUUGGUUGCUUUUUUUUUUUAAACUGCACCAUGAACUAGAGCCUAUUUCCGAGGGCUGGAUGUUGGCGAUGGUUUUUCAUCUCGUCAGGCCAGAGGCUGUAGAAACAGGCAUUUCUCCUCUUGAAUUCUCUGUCUUUAUAAAAGCUGUUAGCGAAAUCAAUGAAGAGCUCAUGCCAUGGUCUUCUCUCCCAGCAUUUCCGGAAAAAAGUUGCCCAUGGCCAGCGACAAAGCGGGAUACUGGGAAUACCAAUGAAAUGAAUGAUAGUUCCGUACCCAUAAAUCAACUUGAAAAUCCCAACACCUUCGCUCUUCAUAUGUUUCUGUGUCCGAUGUUUAUGAUUCAGAACACAUUGACGGCGCCAAAACCGCCGAAAACCAAACUGACGAAGACAGAAUGCAGUGUACCGUCCACGUGCGUUAGUCUCAUCCGUCACAUCGCACAGUAAUUCGCUACUCGAAACGCGACUGUUCUCCACAAAUCCGAAAGGAUGGAAAUCCUCGAUUGCUUGCUUGAAGUCAUGGCUUGCCUCCUUCGCUUUGGCAAUCACUAUUCGUGUAGCCUUAUUUACAUCUAUUUUGUUCCAAUUUCCAACCGUGGCAAGAGAAUCCAUUAGUGUUAAAAAUAGUUUCAUCUACCAAAGUGCGUGAGAUGGCACUCACGUGCCAUUAUAGCCGAAUGGCUCUCUGUCGUUUGGUGGAGCGGCGCAUCACGCGACUGAAAAUGAUUAAAGCCAAGGAACCAACUCUUCAUUCAUCGAAUACAUCAGGUUUGCAACCAGCGUUAAACAAAAAUUUCUACAGGUCUCAAUCGCAGCUCGACGAAGUGAAAUUUCUGCAACGCCUUCUUCAAUCGAAACGGAAGCACGAUAUCCUCGCUGAAGAUCACGAGCCAACACAAUGAUGUAAGCUUC